CUACGGGGCGCUGCAGUGAGGAAUAUUGCACAAUGGGGGGAACCCUGAUGCAGCAACGCCGCGUGGAGGAUGACGCAUUUCGGUGUGUAAACUCCUUUUAUAUGUCAAGAAAAUGACGGUAGCAUAUGAAUAAGCACCGGCUAACUCCGUGCCAGCAGCCGCGGUAAUACGGAUGGGUGCAAGCGUUACUCGGAAUCACUGGGCGUAAAGGACGCGUAGGCGGGUUGGAAAGUCAGGUGUGAAAUCCUACAGCUUAACUGUAGAACUGCACUUGAAACUUCUAAUCUAGAGUAUGGGAGGGGGAGAUGGAAUUAGUGGUGUAGGGGUAAAAUCCGUAGAUAUCACUAGGAAUACCUAAAGCGAAGGCGAUCUCCUGGAACAUUACUGACGCUAAGGCGUGAAAGCGUGGGGAGCAAACAGGAUUAGAUACCCCAGUAGUC
rnacentral:rRNA from 1 species